CGUCCAGCUUCGACAAGUUAACGAGGGAGCUUUUCCCGUCAAGCUUUGCCUUCGCUGGUUUCUGGGACCUGCAUCCGCAUCUGUUUGCGCUUAUUGUGGGUAGCGGAGGUUUGGGCAGCAGAGCCCUGGCCGGUGGUGGCGGAGGUGUCCCAGCGGUGAUGCUGGCUGGCGGAGCCGAUCUCGUUGAUGGACUCUUUCAGCGGAGUUUGAGUUCGGCGGAGGUUGCAGCUCAGCGGAAGAAACUGCCCGCUGGUGGAGCUCUGGCGGAACUUAGUUGUCGGCAUUUUGAAUGCUAGGGGUCGCUGGCGGAAGACAACCGCUGGGUAUUGCUAGCGGUCCACGUCGCCGCUGGACUCCCUGGUGCGUGCAGAGGAUUUGGCAGAACUGUUCAGCGGAGAUGAAGUUCGGCGGAGCGGAGCUAUGCUAGCGGUUGAAAAUGGCGGUGUACAGUGUGGCGGAAGAUUUUUCGGCGGAGGUUGCCUUUGCUGGUGAUGGGAGCUAACAGUGCCGCCGGUGGCAGGUAGCUGGCGGAAGUCAUAGCCGGAGCUAGGCUGGCGGAGAAUGGUCGUUAGGCCUGCAAAGCCGCCUGUGGUGUUUAGCGGUGAUUUAGCCGCUGGUUGUGGUUGGCGGCGAGGCUUGGCUGGCGGAGGCAGGAUUGGUUAGCGGAGCGGAGCGGAGCUAUUUUGCCGGUGGUGCUGGUGCUUGACGAAGAGGAUGAUUGUUGAUCGUGGGUCAAUUUUAGUUUGUUUUGUGGCCGGCGGUGAAGCUUGCUGGACUUGCCAGUAAAGCUUUAGCGGUGCCUAGCGGAGUUGUACCCGCUGAAGAAGUGUGGCGGAGCGGAGCUCUAUGCUCACCUGUAGCUCGACGGAGAUUCGAUGCUAGCUCAGCGGCGGAUCGAAGUUCGGCGGAAGACUCGGAGCUCAGCGGAGCCGGUUAAUGGGUUGUCCGAUGGAGUAGCUGUUGCUGGCGGUAUUCUGCUAGCGGAGGCAGUUGGGUGGUGAUGUCCUAGCGGUGGAGCGGUGAUGAUGGAGCUUUGGAUCAUCAACGGAGCAUGAACGGCGGAACUGCUCAGCGGAGGAGAAUUUCGGCGGAGCUCGUUGAUGGAGCUAGUGGGUUGUCCAGCGGAAGGGCUCGCUGGAGGAGGAAGCUUGGUGUUUGGAGCUCAGCGGAGGCGUUGGCCGUUGGUGUUGACUAUCGAUCGAGAGAAGAAGCCUGGGUGCCCAGAGAAGUUUUUCUGGGUGUCCAGAGAAGAUUUGCCGCCAAGUUUUUUUUUUUUUUUUGAAUAGUUCAUCGUUGACUUUUUCAUUUCCAGCGUUGACCAAGUGUGACCAACACUUUGCCAGCGUUGACCAACCAUCUCCGGCGUUGACCAAGGGUUGACUUGGUAGAUGGCACAAGUUGCCGCUAAGAAUAUCAAUUAUAUGACUCAAAGAAAGAAAUUAUUUUGAGCUCGGUUAAGAUGACUUAACUCAAUGGUAAGUGACGAAGCCUUUGUGUUGGCUUCCCACAGACGGCGCCAAUGUUAAUGCUUGGAUCCGUUGGGGAUCUAAUUAACGU
rnacentral:lncRNA from 1 species